CCAGACUCCUACGGGAGGCAGCAGUGAGGAAUAUUGGUCAAUGGUCGGGAGACUGAACCAGCCAAGCCGCGUGAGGGAUGAAGGUACAGAGUAUCGUAAACCUCUUUUGUCAGGGAACAAAGGCGGGGACGCGUCCCCGGAUGAGUGUACCUGAAGAAAAAGCAUCGGCUAACUCCGUGCCAGCAGCCGCGGUAAUACGGAGGAUGCGAGCGUUAUCCGGAUUUAUUGGGUUUAAAGGGUGCGCAGGCGGAAGAUCAAUCCGGCGUUAAAGUGGAGAGGCUCAACCUCUUCGAGCCGUUGAAACUGGUUUUCUUGAGUGAGCGAGAAGUAUGCGGAAUGCGUGGUGUAGCGGUGAAAUGCAUAGAUAUCACGCAGAACUCCGAUUGCGAAGGCAGCGUACCGGCGCCCAACUGACGCUGAAGCACGAAGGCGUGGGUAUCGAACAGGAUUAGAUACCCCCGUAAGU
rnacentral:rRNA from 1 species